GGGCCUGCCCGGUGAUUAGUCAAAUUUUGAAGUUAUAAACUAACAAGAAAUUUUUUUAAACGGCUGCAAUUAGUAGUUGUGCUAAGGUAGCGUAAUCAUUUGCCCCUUAAUUAGGGGAAGGUAUGAAUGGUUUGACGUGGGAAAAGCUGUCUCUUUUGUAUAGAAAGAAGUUUAUUUUUGAGUGAAAAAGCUUAAAUAUUUGUAAAAGACGAGAAGACCCUAUCGAACUUGAAUUGUGUG
rnacentral:rRNA from 1 species